AUUGAACGCUGGCGGCAUGCCUUACACAUGCAAGUCGAACGGUAACGGGCCUUCGGGUGCCGACGAGCGGCGAACGGGUGCGUAAUACAUCGGAACGUGCCCGAUCGUGGGGGAUAACGAGGCGAAAGCUUUGCUAAUACCGCAUACGAUCUACGGAUGAAAGCAGGGGACCGCAAGGCCUUGCGCGGACGGAGCGGCCGAUGGCAGAUUAGGUAGUUGGUGGGAUAAAAGCUUACCAAGCCGACGAUCUGUAGCUGGUCUGAGAGGAUGGUCAGCCACACUGGGACUGAGACACGGCCCAGACUCCUACGGGAGGCAGCAGUGGGGAAUUUUGGACAAUGGGCGCAAGCCUGAUCCAGCCAUGCCGCGUGCAGGAUGAAGGCCUUCGGGUUGUAAACUGCUUUUGUACGGAACGAAAAGCCUUCUUUUAAUACAGGAGGGUCAUGACGGUACCGUAAGAAUAAGCACCGGCUAACUACGUG
rnacentral:rRNA from 1 species